rnacentral:rRNA from 1 species
UACGUAGGGGGCGAGCGUUGUCCGGAAUCAUUGGGCGUAAAGCGCGUGUAGGCGGCUUGGUCAGUCUGGUGUGAAAACUCGGGGCUUAACCCCUAGCCUGCACUGGAUACUGCCAAGCUUGAGUCCGGGAGGGGAGAGCGGAAUUCCUAGUGUAGCGGUGAAAUGCGCAGAUAUUAGGAAGAACACCGGUGGCGAAGGCGGCUCUCUGGAACGGUACUGACGCUGAGACGCGAAAGCGUGGGGAGCGAAC